GAGUCAAAACAACUGCGUAAGAGACUAGUUAAGAUGCAUGCACACGAUGUAGAAUGUUUUGGGUGAUUUCUGUAGAAUUCUGGGGCUUCUGUACUACAUCUAUAAAGUUCAAGAACUGGAUAUGAACCAGAACACAGACCAUCCCAAGAAGACAGAAUUUAUCUACCAAAAACUAAGAUAAUUUAAUACCUUUAUCUGCGCUGUUUACCUUUUCCUAGAAAACACUACUCAUAGGAAAAACUUGCUAAGUCAACUCGGACAAAAAUAGCUUAUCAACAUUACUUCUAGCAUUAUGUAAUGGACUUGUCAUGGUAUGCUCUGGCAGAUUAUUUUAGAACCGGCUAUACCUAAACAUCCAGAAAAACAUUCUUUGACUCACUAGAUGAUUUUAUCUUAAGCUACCUACUACAAACACAACAAUACAUUCACGUCUUUUUUUCCCAUAACACAACAAUACAUUCACCUCUUCUUUCCCCAUAACUGUCAGUUUUCUCAUUUUGUAAGAACAUAAAAGAAAUGUUGUUCUAAACUGUGAAAAAAAAUUUCUCCAAUACCAUAAGGCUUGAAAUAAGGCUUGUACUUCAUUAAAAUUGAACUCUUUCAACAAAAACAUCCCUGAUUAAUGUUAACAAAAAGAACAGCAACUUACGUGAAAUGCUGGUGGUGCUUUUUUGUUAAUGUAUAGUUUUAUAUUGGUUUUCAGACUAGAAGGCACCUAAGAUCAGGUGUUACCAGAACCACUGUAGUGAUACAACUAAGGUGGUGUUCAGCUUAUUUGAGAAAACAAGCACCUUUACUGGCAGAGAUAACAUUCAACACACCCUUUUUCCCCAGUAAAUGCACUUCCACAUUGCAAUGCAUCAUGCACAAAUACUAUUCAGGAAGCCAUGAAGUAAUGAUCAAAAUGAUUAUACCAUCAAAGUAUUAUAGGAAAGUUUUAGUUAUAACAGAAUGGAGGAAAAAAUAAUCAAGACAUAAUAACACAUGAAAGUUAAAUUCAUGUAUUAAGAUUCAUGUAUUAAGUUAAAGGUCACUGACACAUACAUGGCCAUUAUAGUUCAACAGUAUUUCUUUCCUUUUAUGCAUGCUAGUCUAUCUCAUCUGGCAGGUCUUUGAGAAGAAAAUUUUCACAGAAGACCCAACUACCGGCAGGAUGAGUACAACUGUUGUGGGGAUAAUGAUCUCUAUUCAUGAUGAUCUAUACAUUCAAAGUAACUAGCAGCAUUGCAACCAUGGCAUAACUGACAAUAAUAUUUUUUAAACCUCAAAUUCAUUAAUACCUUGUUCUCAAAAUAUUAACUAUUUUUUCCCUCACAUUCUUGAUGUGCUCCCAACCAAAACCAAGGCUUCAUACAUUUCAAAGCAUUUCCCCAAAGGCAUGUCUAUUAAAGUGUACACACAAAACCAGCCUGAUCAUGGUUUCUGUCACUUUAUUUUUUAAAGGAAAGACUGCAGUGGCUGCUUUAAAAUAAAAGGAAAUCCAUUUUUUACUUCUAGGCCCUGUGAGGUCUAACAUGCAAUGUGUUAACCAGCCGGCCUGGCUCUGAAAAGGCUAAAAGAAAAAAAUAAAAUUAAACUACUAGUAUUUCUCCAACUGCAAAACCAAAAUAUUGCCAGGUCUUCCUGCAACUAGGGUACUGGAUAAUUUCGACUAAAAUAAAUGUUUAUUAAAUAAAAAGGGCGUUGAUUUCUUGGCAGCGAUGAAAAGCAGGAGAUACCCCUAGUGUCGACGUAAAGUACUACAGGACUCCAUACUGGACUCCAGGUUAACUUUACGGCACAAAAAGGGAAAUUUAAACCCGUCAUGACCGAAAAAACAGAGCGACUCUCGCACACACACACACACACACACCUGGACACAUCGCACUCCCGCCUCCUCAAACUCCAAGUACCCAUCGUAUGUGAAGUGUCAGCUUUUCGCCCCAGCCCAGUUACAGCGCAUAUUAUCCAGUCCAUUGGGCUACGUGCAUUACAGCUUUCUGGUCCGCACACGAACAGCACAGCGCUGCUGCUGCUGCUGCACCGGGGGCGGGGGGAGAACCCCGCCGAGCUGCGAAACAACCCCCGCAAGGCAGCGCUGCCGAAAUUGCCGGAAUUCUGUUUGGAAACCGCUCCGGGAGACGCUGGUGCCUCUGUGGAACACACGAGAGGCAGCCCGGGCGAGGCGAAUCCCCGGACCGCGGAGAGGGCCGGGCGCGGGUGAGGUCUUCUCACUGCAGACAGGGUAUGAGAGAUCGGACUCCAUCUGGAGAGAACGAAGAGGUUUUUCUCCCCUCCUCCAGGCUUAACUACCCCAGGUCUCUCAGCCGCUCCUCGACUUAUUCAGGGUGAUGACAUACACUUCUUUACCCCCCGCCUUGUAUGAUUUGACAGAUGAAUGUGUGAUCGUUUUCAGUGCUGGGCCUGGCUAAAUGUGACUGUGGGGCCGCAGUGAAUGGCUUAAAAUGUUUUGAAAAGGACUCCAAGGACUUCUUGACCUGUACAGCAGACUUUUUGAAUCUUGGCUGUCAGGUGUGGGGCACUCCAGCAUGUUUAGAGCUCCUACACUUUUCCAAAUGGAGAACUGCGAGAGAGUGUCAUCUUAGCAAGAGAAAAGCUCCCUCCUGUGGAAGAGAUGAACCUCUGCUGUGACAAGAAGCAACCAUAAGGACAUCUCACCGUGAUUUUAAAUUAGCAGGAAAAAGGAUUAGAAGUACUGUGGGACGUUGCAAAUACUGGAAUGCAAGACCCUGCUCCCUGUUAUUUUUUCUCAAAAUACAUAUUUCAUAUUUUGUAUGACUUAUUUCUAAAACUGUAUCUCAGUUAUAAUGUUUGCUGUGUGUAAGUAAAACUGGAUUGUUUAAAUAAUAUAA